AGUGAACGCUGGCGGUAGGCCUAACACAUGCAAGUCGAACGGCAGCACAGUAAGAGCUUGCUCUUACGGGUGGCGAGUGGCGGACGGGUGAGGAAUACAUCGGAAUCUACUUUUUCGUGGGGGAUAACGUAGGGAAACUUACGCUAAUACCGCAUACGACCUACGGGUGAAAGCAGGGGAUCUUCGGACCUUGCGCGAUUGGAUGAGCCGAUGUCGGAUUAGCUAGUUGGCGGGGUAAAGGCCCACCAAGGCGACGAUCCGUAGCUGGUCUGAGAGGAUGAUCAGCCACACUGGAACUGAGACACGGUCCAGACUCCUACGGGAGGCAGCAGUGGGGAAUAUUGGACAAAGGGCGCAAGCCUGAUCCAGCCAUACCGCGUGGGUGAAGAAGGCCUUCGGGUUGUAAAGCCCUUUUGUUGGGAAAGAAGAGCAGCAGGUUAAUACCCCGCUGUUCUGACGGUACCCAAAGAAUAAGCACCGGCUAACUUCGUG
rnacentral:rRNA from 1 species